GGUGAGUAACACGUGGGAACGUACCUUUUGGUUCGGAACAACUCAGGGAAACUUGAGCUAAUACCGAAUGUGCCCUUAGGGGGAAAGAUUCAUCGCCAUUAGAGCGGCCCGCGUUAGAUUAGCUUGUUGGUGAGGUAAAGGCUCACCAAGGCUACGAUCUAUAGCUGGUCUGAGAGGAUGAUCAGCCACACUGGGACUGAGACACGGCCCAGACUCCUACGGGAGGCAGCAGUGGGGAAUCUUGCGCAAUGGGCGAAAGCCUGACGCAGCCAUGCCGCGUGAAUGAUGAAGGUCUUAGGAUUGUAAAAUUCUUUCAGUAGGGACGAUAAUGACAGUACCUACAGAAGAAGCCCCGGCUAACUUCGUGCCAGCAGCCGCGGUAAUACGAAGGGGGCUAGCGUUGCUCGGAAUUACUGGGCGUAAAGGG
rnacentral:rRNA from 1 species